rnacentral:rRNA from 1 species
GGUAUGGGAUGAGCUUGCGUCCGAUUAGCUAGUUGGCGGGGCAACGGCCCACCAAGGCGACGAUCGGUAGCCGGCCUGAGAGGGUGAUCGGCCACAUUGGGACUGAGAUACGGCCCAGACUCCUACGGGAGGCAGCAGUAGGGAAUAUUGCACAAUGGGGGAAACCCUGAUGCAGCAACGCCACGUGUGGGAAGAAGCAUUUCGGUGUGUAAACCACUGUCGUGAGGGAAUAAUACGCGGUUUCGGCCGCGGGGGAAUGUACCUCGAAAGGAAGCACCGGCAAACUUCGUGCCAGCAGCCGCGGUAAUACGAGGGGUGCAAGCGUUGUUCGGGAUCACUGGGCGUAAAGGGAGCGUAGGCGGAUGUUCAAGCGGAUUGUACAAUACCGGGGCCCAACCCCGGACCUGCAGUCCGAACUGGACAUCUUGGAUAGUUCAGGGGCAGGC